GGGUCAGUAGGUUGGUCGUGCCACCGGUACGUACUGGUCUCACUGAUUCCUCCUUCCUGAAGAACCGUAAUGCCAUUAAUUUGGUGUUGCUGGGAAACAGGACUGUUACUUUGAAAAAAUUAGAGUGUUUAAAGCAAGCUAACGCUUGAAUACAUUAGCAUGGAAUAAUGAAAUAGGACGAUCGAUCAUAUUUUGUUGGUUUCUAGGAUUGACGUA
rnacentral:rRNA from 1 species